rnacentral:rRNA from 1 species
UACAUGUGGGGCAAGCGUUGUUCGGAAUUACUGGGCGUAAAGGGCGCGUAGGCGGUGCUCUAAGUCGGAUAUGAAAACUCUGGGCUCAACCCAGAGCCUGCAUCCGAAACUGGAGUGCUAGAGUUCUGGAGGGGGUAGCGGAAUUCCUGGUGUAGCGGUGAAAUGCGCAGAUAUCAGGAGGAACACCGGUGGCGAAGGCGGAUCUCUGGGCCUUACCUGACGCUCAGGUGCGAAAGCUAGGGGAGCAAACAGG